UGGGGAAUAUUGCACAAUGGGCGCAAGCCUGAUGCAGCCAUGCCGCGUGUGUGAAGAAGGCCUUCGGGUUGUAAAGCACUUUCAGCGAGGAGGAAGGUGGUGAGCUUAAUACGCUCAUCAAUUGACGUUACUCGCAGAAGAAGCACCGGCUAACUCCGUGCCAGCAGCCGCGGCAAUACGGAGGGUGCAAGCGUUAAUCGGAAUUACUGGGCGUAAAGCGCACGCAGGCGGUUUGUUAAGUCAGAUGUGAAAUCCCCGGGCUCAACCUGGGAACUGCAUUUGAAACUGGCAAGCUAGAGUCUCGUAGAGGGGGGUAGAAUUCCAGGUGUAGCGGUGAAAUGCGUAGAGAUCUGGAGGAAUACCGGUGGCGAAGGCGGCCCCCUGGACGAAGACUGACGCUCAGGUGCGAAAGGCGUGGGGCAGCAAACAGGAUUAGAUACCCUGGUAGUCCACGCUGUAAACGAUGUCGAUUUUGGAGGUUGUGCCCCUUGAGGCGUGGCUUCCGGAGCUAACGCGUUAAAUCG
rnacentral:rRNA from 1 species